AUUUCUUUAGUAUAGUAGUACAGAUGCCCUCCAAGCAUUUAGUCCCCCCAGGGAAGAAAUA
rnacentral:tRNA from 1 species